GACGAACGCUGGCGGCGUGCUUAACACAUGCCAGUCGAACGGAAAGGCCCUGCUUUUGUGGGGUGCUCGAGUGGCGAACGGGUGAGUAACACGUGAGUAACCUGCCCUUGACUUUGGGAUAACUUCAGGAAACUGGGGCUAAUACCGGAUAGGAGCUCCUGCUGCAUGGUGGGGGUUGGAAAGUUUCGGCGGUUGGGGAUGGACUCGCGGCUUAUCAGCUUGUUGGUGGGGUAGUGGCUUACCAAGGCUUUGACGGGUAGCCGGCCUGAGAGGGUGAACGGCGACAUUGGGACUGAGAUACGGCCCAGACUCGUACGGGAGGCAGCAGUGGGGAAUAUUGCACAAUGGGCGGAAGCCUGAUGCAGCAACGCCGCGUGCGGGAUGACGGCCUUCGGGUUGUAAACCGCUUUCGCCUGUGACGAAGCGUGAGUGACGGUAAUGGGUAAAGAAGCACCGGCUAACUACGUG
rnacentral:rRNA from 1 species